rnacentral:rRNA from 1 species
UACGUAGGCAGCGAGCGUUGUUCGGAGUUACUGGGCGUAAAGCGUGCGUAGGCGGUGUCUUAAGUUUGUUGUGAAAUCUCCCGGCUUAACCUGGAGGGUGCGGCGAAUACUGAGAUGCUGGAGUGCGGGAGAGGUAAGCGGAAUUCCUGGUGUAGCGGUGAAAUGCGUAGAUAUCAGGAGGAACACCUGCGGUGUAGACGGCUUACUGGACCGUAACUGACGCUGAGGCACGAAAGCGUGGGUAGCAAACAGG